rnacentral:tRNA from 1 species
GGUGGCUCAGUGGUAGAGUGCUUGCCUCGCAUGCAUGAGCCCGGGGUUAGAUUCCUCAGUACCA